UACGAAGGGGCUAGCGUUGUUCGGAAUCACUGGGCGUAAAGGGCGCGUAGGCGGCUUUAUAAGUCGGGGGUGAAAGCCUGUGGCUCAACCACAGAAUUGCCUUCGAUACUGUAGAGCUUGAGACCGGAAGAGGUAAGUGGAACUGCGAGUGUAGAGGUGAAAUUCGUAGAUAUCAGGAGGAACACCGGUGGCGAAGGCGCCACUCUGGGCCGGUACUGACGCUGAGGAGCGAAAGCGUGGGUAGCAAACAGG
rnacentral:rRNA from 1 species